CAUUUGUCUGCACCUGCUACACCGGCUGUGACAGGUGAUUAUCACAUACAUGUAUACACACAUGUACCCUCUCCCUCACUUGGGGCUCUAUUCAAUCACAUCCACUUUAGCUGACAUCCACAUAGCGGUUGUUUUGGUGGUGUCUGAGGUGGAACUGUGUUAGAGCUGUCAAAUUCACAAGCGGCUCCUGGCAUUAUACUUAAAGCGGACAUUGCAAUUGGCUGCACGGAGUCGCAUUAACAGAAAACUCAUGCAGCCCUGUUUACGAGUUUGAACACUGGAAUGUGAGAUGUAAUCUACACCUUGAGUAGUCUGAUAGAAAUCCUCAUUAUUUUAUUAUUUUGAAUUUGUGCGUCAAUAUGUCUAUAUAGCCUACACUUUCUCGUUCUGAACUUGUAACUCAAGUAGGAUGGGUGCGGCUUUGUGACAAUGAUCAAGAGCAGCUGCUCACCGAUUUGAGAGGCAGUUACACCUCAGCUAUUCGGUGGUUAACUCUUGAUCUGAUUGAAUCUAGGCCUUUCUCUUUUAGAUCUGCCACCCCCAGCAGUUCAGCUGCAGUCACAGCAGUCCUCUGCUGUGGUAUUUAAUUUACCAGCUGCACCAGUUCCUACUACACUGGCCGUGGAGGCAUAAACUUUUGAGGAUUCCCAGAUGGAGACAGAUUGGCCAUGCUCUCCACCAGUGCCCGACAGCCUCACCCAGAAGUGCCUACACUGGGCCGAUCAAGACUGACAAAGCAGAGAUGGGUGGCUGACAAGGAAACAUAAAACAUGCACACACAUGCUCUCUCUCUGUGUCUCUGUCUCUCUCACACACACAUUAUCCCCAAUAUAAAUAAAUUGUAAUAACUUGUUUA